CACCACAAUAAUAGAUGAGGCUAUUCUCGACGUCACCAUCCUGCGAUUUGAGUGGUUGCGUCAUCACCGGGCGACGUGCUUUUUGAUUUUGUAAACAUUCCGACAAGCGGUUGGGAACCGUGAGUGUAGAGAGCCAUGGAUAACCUUGUAAAGGUUCACGGAAGCGGCGGCUAUGACUCCGACUUCAGUGAUGAAGACGCGCAGGGCGAGUCCUCAGAGAGAGGCCAUAAAAGAAAACGCGAGGAGGAAAUCUUGCAGAAGCCCUUCCAGAAAGGACGGAGCUCCAAGGUGGCGCAUCGCAGUUUGCACUCUAGUGAAGUGGACAGGGAGGAAGCCAUGAACAGAAGAGCCCACCUGAUCUCAAUGAAUGCUUUUGAGCGUCAUAAAAAGUUUGUGGGUGACUACAUACUGUAUUACGGAGGACAGAUGGACGACUUCAGACGCUCCAGAGAUAAAGACAAGACAGACGCGGACGUGCUGCGCGAAAACCAUCGCUUCCUGUGGAGGGAUGAGGACGAGGAAGACAUGACAUGGGAAAAGGAACUUGCCAAGAAAUAUUAUGACAAGCUGUUUAAAGAAUACUGCAUCACUGACCUCAGCAGGUACAAGGAAAACAAGUUUGGAUUUCGCUGGCGAACCGAGAACGAAGUCGUCUCCGGUAAAGGUCAGUUUCAGUGUGGAAACAAACGCUGUGAAAAGGAGGAAGGCCUGAAAAGCUGGGAGGUGAAUUUUGCCUACGUUGAACAGGGGGAGAAGAGGAACGCGUUGGUCAAACUCCGACUAUGUCCCGAAUGUUCUUUCAAACUCAACUACCACCACAAGAGGAAGGAGGUGAUAGCAAAGAAAAAGACCAAAAGGUUAUCGGUGGAGAACCAGGAGCCACCAACGAAGAAGAAGACUAAGAAGAGGAGGAGAUCUUCUUCACAUUCAAAGAAGCACAAACACAGAAAACACAGAGAACGCUCCGCCUCCUCCAGCAGCUCAGAGGGGUCGCAAAACUCGGACAAAGGUGACGUUCAUAAAUCCCCGACACACAAGCACUCCCACUCCCACUCACAAACGCACACCCACAGUUGGCAGGUUACGACGUCCUCCUCCAGACCUGGAGACCGUGACACCCCUUCAAACUCCUUCUGGAGUGAAAACAACCCGGCCGGCACUCCCCUCUGGAUUCGCCCGACAAGAGUCUGCUUUUUCUCAGACAUCUUUUUUUUUUCUCUCCACUCGUCUCUUUGCCCUUCGCUGAAAAGCGGCGUGAAGUGAAGUAUGUCUUUGCCCUCUUGUCCCCGUUCUAUUUAAUCCAGGGUCUACCUGGAUGGAUGGAUGGAUGCGUGAGGAGGCGGAGACGUUACACAAAACCAAACCUUCUCUGUCCGCAGGUUGUGUCAUUGGGUUCAGCGUGCGCCCGAGGCCUCGUGCACUUUCUUUCUUUGCUUUGGUUCACGGUUAUUUAAAGCAGCUGUUGCUGAAUCAUGUUUUUUUUUUUUUUUUUUAAGGUAGGAGCCUCAGGUUGUUGUGUAAUUUGCGAGCAAUGCAUUCAAGAAUUCCAAGGAGUCUGGUUUGACCCAGCGCAUACUUUAACUAUUCACAUAAAUAAAUUGAAGCCACGUGAUUAGUGGCUAUAUUUCUUUCUUUCUCUUGUCCAGGGGUCAUUAAUGUUUGUUAGAUCAAGGACCCAACACUGAUGGAUCCUCUACCUACUAUCUGUGUUCUGUAUUUAACUCACACUCACACUUAUUAGCAUUUAGCAUCAUUUAGCAUUCAAAUUCAAAGCUAGUCAAGUAAUACACAGAGUUCUUUUUUUUUUUUUUUCAAACAUAUGCAACAGUAUUUACUAAUAUUUGUUGAUGUUAUUUUGUAUUUAAAAAAAACAUUUGUGGGGGGAAAUUUAAAAUAUAUAUACAUAAAAAAAAGUAUAAUCAACCAAAGAUUUUGCAACACCCCCUGCAGUACCUCCAUAGACCCCUAGGGGCCCUGAACCCCCUGUUGAUGCUCUAAGGAAAAACUGAAAUGCAUAUCGCCGGAUGUGCGACACUUAACAGCCGUGACUUCAACAGAGUUUUUCCUUUCCUGGAAUUGACAAGUCUCUGAAUCUUUCCCACUCAGACUCGGAGGCCGGGGAUGAUCCAGGGGGCCAAUCGGACGGCGAGCACUGGCGAGGCCCCGCCCCCGCGGUGGAGGAAAAGUCAAGGGAGGAGGAGUUCGAUGACUACUUUGAAGACAUGUUCCUCUGACCCUUGUCCACACUUCUCUCUGCGAGUCCCGAGUGCCGUUACCUGGAUGGAAAUAAAUGUGUUUACUGUGUCUGUACCUUCUGUGUCUCCACAAGCACGUAAUUAAAAAAGAGGGUUCAGGA